rnacentral:tRNA from 1 species
AAAAAGAUAAGCUAAUUAAGCUACUGGGUUCAUACCCCAUUUAUGAAGGUUACCCCCACCCCUUUUCUUUUUA